CCUACGGGAGGCUGCAGUGGGGAAUAUUGGACAAUGGGGGCAACCCUGAUCCAGCCAUGCCGCGUGUGUGAAGAAGGCCCUCGGGUUGUAAAGCACUUUCAGUGAGGAAGAACGCCUGGUGGUUAAUACCCAUCAGGAAAGACAUCACUCACAGAAGAAGCACCGGCUAACUCCGUGCCAGCAGCCGCGGUAAUACGGAGGGUGCGAGCGUUAAUCGGAAUUACUGGGCGUAAAGCGCGCGUAGGUGGCUUGAUAAGCCGGUUGUGAAAGCCCCGGGCUCAACCUGGGAACGGCAUCCGGAACUGUCAAGCUAGAGUGCAGGAGAGGAAGGUAGAAUUCCCGGUGUAGCGGUGAAAUGCGUAGAGAUCGGGAGGAAUACCAGUGGCGAAGGCGGCCUUCUGGACUGACACUGACACUGAGGUGCGAAAGCUUGGGUAGCAAACAGGAUUAGAUACCCCGGUAGUC
rnacentral:rRNA from 1 species